UGUACAUGUACAUUUAUACAAAUCAUUUUCCUAUCUUUCUCUGCAAGUAAGAAAAUCCAAGACCUAUUCUUUUCAAGUUCAAUUCAGGAAACAAAUAUCAAGUCCAAAGAAUUACUCCUUUUGCACCCCAAAUUCAGAUCGACAGCAGGUUAUCUCCGCAAGUAAGGUCGGAGUAAGAAAUUCAAGUUAAAGGAACUAAACGAACCAGGUUGAGUAGCGAAGUGGUGGAGGAAGUGCUAUUGAAACAGGACAUUUAA